rnacentral:rRNA from 1 species
GGCGUCUUUGGCGUCCGAGUUGUAAUUUGCAGAGGGCGCUUUGGCAUUGGCAGCGGUCCAAGUUCCUUGGAACAGGACGUCACAGAGGGUGAGAAUCCCGUACGUGGUCGCUAGCCUUUACCGUGUAAAGCCCCUUCGACGAGUCGAGUUGUUUGGGAAUGCAGCUCUAAAUGGGAGGUAAAUUUCUUCUAAAGCUAAAUACUGGCCAGAGACCGAUAGCGCACAAGUAGAGUGAUCGAAAGAUGAAAAGCACUUUGGAAAGAGAGUUAAAAAGCACGUGAAAUUGUUGAAAGGGAAGCGCUUGCAGCCAGACUUGCCUGUAGUUGCUCAUCCGGGUUUCUACCCGGUGCACUCUUCUAUAGGCAGGCCAGCAUCAGUUUGGGCGGUUGGAUAAAGGUCUCUGUCAUGUACCUCUCUUCGGGGAGAACUUAUAGGGGAGACGACAUGCAACCAGCCUGGACUGAGGUCCGCGCAUCUGCUAGGAUGCUGGCGUAAUGGCUGUAAGCGGCCCGUCUUGAAACACGGACCAAGGAGUCUAACAUCUAUGCGAGUGUUUGGGUGUCAAGCCCGAGCGCGUAAUGAAAGUGAACGGAGGUGGGAACCUUUCGGGGUGCACCAUCGACCGAUCCUGAUGUCUUCGGAUGGAUUUGAGUAAGAGCAUAGCUGUUGGGACCCGAAAGAUGGUGAACUAUGCUUGAAUAGGGUGAAGCCAGAGGAAACUCUGGUGGAGGCUCGCAGCGGUUCUGACGUGCAAAUCGAUCGUCAAAUUUGGGCAUAGGGGCGAAAGACUAAUCGAACUAUCUAGUAGCUGGUUCCUGCC